AUAACUACGUGAAACCGCUGAUUAUGCGUUCUGCUUUCUACGACACCGUAGCUCAUAUAUCCUUGUGAUAUAUUUUUUUGACAAUUUGCGGACUAUGGUCCGCACAAGUCAAAAAUGUAAUAAGGACCAUUAAAGUUACGGUUCCGCAGCUAGCGUUCUCCGUGUUUCCAACCAAGCCUCGAUAAAAAAAAAUGACUAAAAAAUAAUGACC
rnacentral:lncRNA from 1 species